rnacentral:rRNA from 1 species
GACGAACGCUGGCGGCGUGCCUAAUACAUGCGAGUUGAGCGCUGAAGGUUGGUACUUGUACCAACUGGAUGAGCAGCGAACGGGUGAGUAACGCGUGGGGAAUCUGCCUUUGAGCGGGGGACAACAUUUGGAAACGAAUGCUAGUACCGCAUAAAAACUUUAAACACAAGUUUUAAGUUUGAAAGAUGCAAUUGCAUCACUCAAAGAUGAUCCCGCGUUGUAUUAGCUAGUUGGUGAGGUAAAGGCUCACCAAGGCGAUGAUACAUAGCCGACCUGAGAGGGUGAUCGGCCACAUUGGGACUGAGACACGGCCCAAACUCCUACGGGAGGCAGCAGUAGGGAAUCUUCGGCAAUGGACGAAAGUCUGACCGAGCAACGCCGCGUGAGUGAAGAAGGUUUUCGGAUCGUAAAACUCUGUUGGUAGAGAAGAACGUUGGUGAGAGUGGAAAGCUCAUCAAGUGACGGUAACUACCCAGAAAGGGACGGCUAACUACGU